rnacentral:tRNA from 1 species
GUGACUAGUCUAAUACAAGACAAUUAAUUUCGACUUAGUUAAUCAUGUUUAAAUACCAUGGUCCCCUU